AGCAGUCGCCACGGUAAUACGUAGGUGGCAAGCGUUGUCCGGAAUUAUUGGGCGUAAAGCGCGCGCAGGUGGUUUAAUAAGUCUGAUGUGAAAGCCCACGGCUCAACCGUGGAGGGUCAUUGGAAACUGUUAAACUUGAGUGCAGGAGAGAAAAGUGGAAUUCCUAGUGUAGCGGUGAAAUGCGUAGAGAUUAGGAGGAACAUCAGCGGCGAAGGCGGCUUUCUGGACUGCAACUGACACUGAGGUACGAAAGCGUGGGGAGCAAACAGGAUUAGAUACCCGAGUAGUCCCUGUCUCUUAUAC
rnacentral:rRNA from 1 species